AGUCGAGCGGUAGCACNNGAGAGCUUGCUCUCGGGUGACGAGCGGCGGACGGGUGAGUAAUGUCUGGGAAACUGCCUGAUGGAGGGGGAUAACUACUGGAAACGGUAGCUAAUACCGCAUAACGUCGCAAGACCAAAGUGGGGGACCUUCGGGCCUCAUGCCAUCAGAUGUGCCCAGAUGGGAUUAGCUAGUAGGUGGGGUAAUGGCUCACCUAGGCGACGAUCCCUAGCUGGUCUGAGAGGAUGACCAGCCACACUGGAACUGAGACACGGUCCAGACUCCUACGGGAGGCAGCAGUGGGGAAUAUUGCACAAUGGGCGCAAGCCUGAUGCAGCCAUGCCGCGUGUAUGAAGAAGGCCUUCGGGUUGUAAAGUACUUUCAGCGAGGAGGAAGGCGWUAAGGUUAAUAACCUUGNCGAUUGACGUUACUCGCAGAAGAAGCACCGGCUAACUCCGUGCCAGCAGCCGCGGUAAUACGGAGGGUGCAAGCGUUAAUCGGAAUUACUGGGCGUAAAGCGCACGCAGGCGGUCUGUNAAGUCNGAUGUGAAAUCCCCGGGCUCAACCUGGGAACUGCAUNNGAAACUGGCAGGCUNGAGUCUUGUAGAGGGGGGUAGAAUUCCNGGUGUAGCGGUGAAAUGCGUAGAGAUCUGGAGGAAUACCGGUGGCGAANGCGGCCCCCUGGACAAAGACUGACGCUCANGUGCGAAAGCGUGGGGAGCAAACAGGAUUANAUACCCUGGUAGUCCACGCUGUAAACGAUGUCGACUUGGANGUUGUUCCCUUGANGANUGGCUUCCGGAGCUAACGCGUUAAGUCNANCGCCUGGGGAGUACGGCCGCAAGGUUAAAACUCNAAUGAAUUGANNGGGCCCGCACAAGCGGUGGANCANGUGGUUUAAUUCNAUGCNACGCNAANAANCUUACCUACUCUUGACNUCCNGANAACUUAGCANANAUGCUUUGGNGCCUNNNGGNNCUCNNNNACNGNUGCUGCAUGG
rnacentral:rRNA from 1 species